GACGUAGGGCGCGAGCGUUGUCCGGAUUUAUUGGGCGUAAAGAGCUCGUAGGCGGCUUGUUGCGUCGACUGUGAAAACCUGCGGCUCAACCGUGUGGUCUGCAGUCGAUACGGGCAGGCUGGAGUUCGGUAGGGGAGACUGGAAUUCCUGGUGUAGCGGUGGAAUGCGCAGAUAUCAGGAAGAACACCAACGGCGAAGGCAGCUCGCUGGGACGGUACUGACGCUGAGACGCGAAAGCGUGGGGAGCGAACAGG
rnacentral:rRNA from 1 species